UACGAAGGGUGCAAACGUUGCUCGGAAUUAUUGGGCGUAAAGCGCACGUAGGCGGCUUUGCAAGUCGGAUGUGAAAUCCCUCGGCUUAACCAAGGAAGUGCAUCCGAAACUGGCGAGCUUGAGUACGAAAGAGGAUCGCGGAAUUCCCGGUGUAGAGGUGAAAAUUCGUAGAUAUUCGGAGGAACACCAGUGGCGAAGGCGACUCACUGGCUCGGUACUGACGCUGAGGUGCGAAAGCGUGGGGAGCAAACAGG
rnacentral:rRNA from 1 species